ACGAAGCCACGCCGGUAAACCGAUACCCUC
rnacentral:sRNA from 1 species